rnacentral:rRNA from 1 species
GACGAACGCUGGCGGCGUGCUUAACACAUGCAAGUCGAGCGGUAAGGCCCUUCGGGUACACGAGCGGCGAACGGGUGAGUAACACGUGGGUGACCUGCCUUUAGCUCUGGGAUAAGCCUGGGAAACUGGGUCUAAUACCGGAUAUGACCUCAUGACGCAUGUUGUGGGGUGGAAAGCCUUGUGCGGCUAGAGAUGGGCCCGCGGCCUAUCAGCUUGUUGGUGGGGUGANGGCCUACCAAGGCGACGACAGGUAGCCGGCCUGAGAGGGCGACCGGCCACACUGGGACUGAGACACGGCCCAGACUCCUACGGGAGGCAGCAGUGGGAAUCUUGCGCAAUGGGCGAAAGCCUGACGCAGCGACGCCGCGCGAGGGAUGACGGCCU